GAGGAGGGGAAUCGUCGAUCAUCCCAAAUGGCAGACGGCGGCGACUGCAAGGCGCAGAACGGAACCUUCAUGGAAACACUAAACGACGCCGCCGCCUUCUUCCUGCCCUCCAAACUCCUCCACUCCCUCAGCGACGUCCUGCCCUUCCUCCAAUAUCCCGGCGGUGGCCAGCUCCUCCGCCUCCUCCGCCGUUUCCUCCUCUCUGCCUUCCACGUCCUCCUCUAUCUCCUCUCCUUCCUCCUCUUCCACCUUCCAUCUCCUCCUCAUCCCCCUCCGCCUCAUCCUCUCGCCGCCUCCGGCUUCGCCGUGGCCCCUCUGGCCGAUGGCUCUCGCGCUGGGCGCGGCCUCUCGCGCGUGCUCUUCGCCGUCGCGCACGUCCCGGUC
rnacentral:lncRNA from 1 species